rnacentral:rRNA from 1 species
GACGAACGCUGGCGGCGUGCCUAAUACAUGCGAGUCGAACGAACCGCGACUGAGUGCUUGCACUUGGUCAAGGUGAGUGGCGAACGGGUGAGUAACACGUGGGUAACCUACCUCAUAGUGGGGGAUAACAGUCGGAAACGACUGCUAAUACCGCAUAGGACAUAGGAUCACAUGAUCCAGUGAGGAAAGGUGGCGCAAGCUAUCGCUAAGAGAUGGACCCGCGGUGCAUUAGCUAGUUGGUAGGGUAAAGGCCUACCAAGGCGAUGAUGCAUAGCCGACCUGAGAGGGUGAUCGGCCACAUUGGGACUGAGACACGGCCCAAACUCCUACGGGAGGCAGCAGUAGGGAAUCUUCCGCAAUGGACGCAAGUCUGACGGAGCAACGCCGCGUGAGUGAAGAAGGUCUUCGGAUCGUAAAGCUCUGUUGUUAGAGAAGAACAGCGCAUAGAGUAACUGCUAUGCGUGUGACGGUAUCUAACCAGAAAGCCACGGCUAACUACGUG